AUGAAUAAAUUAACAAACCAUUGAAUAAUUAGUUAAUUAGUGACAACCCAGGCUGAGAGAAAUGAGCAGAAGGGGUGACUAUGGCCUCUCUGAGGAGGGAAAGUGGCUAUUUUAUAUUCCCAUGUAGAGAGAGAGGACUGUUUUCUGAGCUCUGGUUUUCUGGAGAUAAUAAUCAGGAGUGUUGUGUAUGUGCUUUGCAAUUCUAAAGUGCCACACAAUAUUAUUUACAUCAUUCUGCUUUUCUCCUUGAUGAGCUGUUUAAAAAAUGGUAAUAUUAUAAUCCGGCAGAUUAAUCUUGUGUGAUAAAAACAAAGGCUCGCUUUUCAGAGUUCUCCAUCAUGCCAGCCAGUAUACCUGUCCCUGCACAAUGACUGUGUCUGUGUAGACUCUUGCUGAGCCCAAAGGAGCGUCAAGGGCAAGAGAGGUGGGUCCCACAGAUCAUCCAUGGAACAGGCACAGGCACACCACUAUGCUUAAGGCUACCCAAAGAAACACAAGAAGAGAAUUCUAAGAAAACAAAGGGACUUCUGGGGAAACUCAAGAUGACUUGUCUGGGGAGAGGAAAAAUCUGUAAGGUUCAUUGUACAGCUUCUUGAUGAAAAGAAAAGAUGGCGUUGUCAUGGCCUGAGACGCGGAAAGGAAGAGUGAGGAUCCCUAAGAAUGAGAGGACAACCUGCAUGGCUGAGCUGUUUGAUUGACUGCAUUUCUUACUAAAUCUGUUGAAAGAAUAUGACAGGCUCCGAGAAAAGUGGGAGGAAGAAGGUGAGGCCUGGGCUCUGCCCUCUGCCCUCUGGAAACCCUUCAGGCAGGAUGGAAUCCCAGAAGCAUUCCAAACCUAUGGCAGGACAGGAUGGAUCAUCAAAAAGAGCAGAAGUGCCAGGGGAAGAGCAUCGCAGUGCUGGCAGACUACCACAGUCCUGGGAAUGGGACACAUUGCUGAUUUGCCUCUGCAUUCUGCUCAGCACUGGGCCAGUGCCUGCCAUGAGUGGGUUCCUGCUUGGUUUCUGAGGCGUACUAAAGAAGCCUUCACAACCGGCUGACUUUCUCUGACGGGAAUUUUGCUGGCUGGAGGGGGUGAUGUAGGGUGACUUCUCAGCAGGGUAUGAAUUUUCAAUACUAUGGUAAGAGCAGCAUGAUUGGAAGAGAGGCAUAUUUCACUCAAAUACACUCUGUUAUCUUUGUUUUACAUUUAAAUGAAACAUUUGGGCCUGCAUGAAAUUUGGAUGACACAUUAAGGGCAAUUUCCGCAGCGUGAUUCCUGUUGCUGAUUAAAGACUCAAGGCCUCCUGGA